AAGAGGUGCACCACUCAAUGCAGUGUUUUGGAAAGAACCAAUAUGUUUGGAAUACUGGAAUUAUAAUAGAAAAAGUACUUUGAGUGCACUGAACAAAGGAAGUCCUUUUCCAACAUCUUGGUGUUGAUCCUUCUGCCUUUGCUGUAUUCUCAUAGAAAGUACAAAUUCAGGUGCAUUGUACUGCAGCCAGUUUGGUGUGGAGGAAGCUGCACUGAAAGCACGAAAACCUUUCCAGAGGAAUUCCAAACCUGCAUGUCCCAGACCAUUAAGCUGUUGUUUAUUAUGCUGCUGUAUAAAGAAAAUACGGCUUGUUAUUUAAUGUAUGUGUCUCCAAGCAAAAUGAGACUAUGGCACUGAGACUUGCUGCUGGUUCUGAGUACUGAAGCAUCAAUUUGAGGAGGAAGACAUGCAAGUCAGAAAUGCAGUAAACAAUGAGCCAUCAACAGAGCAUUGGUUCAGGUUUGAAAGAGAACUGCAGAGUUCCAGUCAGAAAUAACAGAAGGAAGGAAAUAGAAGACUGUAGAAAGAGAAAGCAAGAAUAAAUUCAAAUAACAUAAUACUGAAAACA
rnacentral:lncRNA from 1 species